AUUGAACGCUGGCGGCAUGCUUUACACAUGCAAGUCGAACGGUAACACGCCUUCGGUUCCUGUCGAGUGUCGAACGGGUGCGUAAUGCAUCGGAACGUACCCCGAGGUUGGGGAUAACGCAGCGAAAGCUGUGCUAAUACCUCAUGUGAUCUGAUAAUGAAAGCGGGGGACCUAACAGCUAUAUUUGGCCUCUCCCCUUUCUUGCGGCCGGUGUCGGAUUAGCUAGUUGGUUGGGUAAAGGCCUACCAAGGCGACGAUCCGUAGCUGAUCUGAGAGGACGACAGGCCACACUGGAACUGAGACACGGUCCAGACUCCUACGGGAGGCAGCAGUAGGGAAUUUUGGACAAUGGGCGAAAGCCUGACGAAGCAACGCCGCGUGAGGGAAGAAGGCCUUCGGAUUGUAAAACGCUUUUAGCAGGGAAGAAAAGGUGUCUGAGAAUACAGGGAGGUAAUGACGGUACCUGAAGAAUAAGCAACGGCUAACUACGUG
rnacentral:rRNA from 1 species